UACAGAGGUGGCGAGCGUUGUUCGGAUUUACUGGGCGUAAAAUGUGCGUAGGCGGCCUGUCAUGUCGGAUGUGAAAUCUCACCGCUCAACGGUGAAACGGCAUUCGAAACUGACAGGCUAGAGUGCGGAAGAGGAGAGUGGAAUUCUUGGUGUAGCGGUGAAAUGCGUUGAUAUCAAGAAGAACACCGGUGGCGAAGGCGACUCUCUAGUACGCAACUGACGCUGAGGCACGAAAGCGUGGGGAGCGAACAGG
rnacentral:rRNA from 1 species